UUCCUUAAGCAUCCGGCGCGUUCUGAGCGCGCCCUUUACAGGUGUCAGGAUAGGAUGCGUGGAUAAAAAGGGGCCAGUUUCUCCCGUAGGCCGCAGUCACGUAAACCCGACUCUGAGUGGCUCACCGCCACACUGAUCUGCAUCACUAUAUUUUAUGUGACUAUUUGUUUACUGGUGUCGCCCACUGAUCGUGGCGGCCCCAGUACUUCCUGACAAACGCUAGGCUUAGAUAUAUGUAUGAUGUAUGGACUAAGUGUGUGCCCCAUCACUGGAUUCAUUUGUGCUGCUCUCUGUGGUGCAGACAUAGACCUCAGGCUGCACUUUGCGGUUCAUUUUCCUUCCUGGAGCCCUCAUCUUUCCCUUCGUUCACUAUAUAGGAAAAACUAAAAGAGGAGAAGUUUGUGGAACCCUGAAACGGGUGCUUGGAGCCACAGCAGAAGCCACCCUACCCAGGACUUUUUCUUCUCUGCUCUCCACUCCUAAAACUGUCUGCAAGGGCGUCCCCUUAACUGCGAUAUUCCGAGGAAGGAUGAUUUCUCUCUAGCCACCCCAGCAUAGUUCUUUAGUGACUCUGGCUUACGUGGUCUCCACUGGCUUUGGAUGCCGGCAUGCCAGAACAUACGAUCGAGCAGAAACCACUAACCAUUACUGCCCAGCACAGCUGAAUGAAUUUCCUCUUCCACACUCUAAGGACAGGACCAGAACAUGGAAAAAGAAACCUGAAAGUUCAGUCUCAUCUCCAGUAUCAUCUCAGGACUCGCAUCCCAGGAGUGAGCCAAUAGAGGACUCACUGUGAAGUCCAUCCAGGUCACAGUCGCUCUACUAUGACUCCGUUUCCCAGGAAGGGACUCUGAGACUCGCUCAAUGCAGGAAAUCCAGUCUGAAGAAGCCUGAAGGGUUGAUAUGUGGUUUGACUAUGAACGCCUCCCCCAUAGGCUUAUAUAUUUGGAAGCUUAGUCACCAGGGUAUGGCACUAUUUGAGAAGGAUUGGGAGCUGUGGCCUGAUGGAGUGGUGUGGCCUUGUUGGAGAAAGCAUGUCAUUGGGGGUAGGCUUUGGGAUUUAAAAAGGUCCAUAUCAGGCCCAAUCUGCCCCGCCCUCAUCUGUUUGCCUGAGGAUCAAGAUGUAGCUCUCAGCUACUGCUCUAGCAGCAUGUGUGCUGUCAUAGUAACACUACCAUGUUGGUAAUGGACUAACUCUCUAAAACUAUAAGCAAGCCCCCAAUUAAAUGCUUGCUUUUCUAC
rnacentral:lncRNA from 1 species